UCAAUGGCCUAACGGCUGAACUGGCAAUUUGGAGGAAUGUCCAAUAAUGGAUAAAUCGAUGNUCUCNGAAUAAAAUUCUAAAUAUAUAAUUGAUAAUGACAAUAUAUAUUUAUGUCUUGACCAAUUACGUGCCAGCAGUCGCGGUAAUACGUUAAAAGACUAGUGUUAUUCAUCAUUAAUAGGUUUAAAGGGUACUCAAACGGUAAAUUUGCCUUAAAAAGGGACAAUUUUUCUAGAGUUUGAUAUAAGGAGGUAGUACUCGUGAGUGGAGAGAUGAUAUUCUUUGAUACCUAGGGGACUGAUUAAGGCGUAGGCAACCUCUUAUGUAUAAACUGACGUUGAAGGACGAAGGCACAGGGCACGAACAGGAUUAGGUACCCCAGUAGUCUUUGCAGAGAAUGAUGAAUGCCAUAGGUUAGGUUAACCAAAACUUAGUCUAUAAAUGAAAGUGUAAGCAUUUCACCUCAAGAGUAAUAUGGCAACGUAGGAACUGAAAUCACUAGACCGUUUCUGACACCAGCAGUGAAGUAUGUUAUUUAAUUCGAUGAUCCACGAAAAAUCUUACCACAAUUUGAAUACUUUCAAUAUGUUAGUACAAGUGUUGCACGGCUGUUUUCAGUUAAUGUUGUGAAACUGUGGUUCGGUCCAUAGAAUUAACGAAAACCCUCGCUUUAUUUGUAAAGUUUAUUAUGAUAAAGCAGCUCACCUUUAUAUUGGAUGUGAUAAGAGGGACUAAGACAAGUCAUCAUGGCCUUGAUAUUGU
rnacentral:rRNA from 1 species